AUUGAACGCUGGCGGCAGGCUUAACACAUGCAAGUCGAGCGAGCGGCGGCCGGGUGAGUAAUGUCUGGGAAACUGCCUUAUGGAGGGGGAUAACUACUGGAAACGGUAGCUACUACCGCAUACCAUCAGAUGUGCCCAAAUGGGAUUAGCUAGUAAGUGGGGUAAUGGCUCCCCUAAGCGACGAUCCCUAGCUGGUCUGAGAGGAUGAGCAGCCAAACUGGAACUGAACGACGGUCCAGACUCGUACGUGAGGCAGCAGUGGGAAAUAUAGAACAAUCGGCGCAAGCCUGAUGCAGCCAUGCCGCGUGAGUGAAGAAGGCCUUAGGGUUGUAAAGCACUUGCAGAGAGGAGGAGUAACUCGCAGAAGAAGCACCGGCUAACUCCGUGCCAGCAGCCGCGGUAAUUC
rnacentral:rRNA from 1 species